GACAGAAGAUGCAAGCGUUACUCGGGAUUACUGGGCGUAAAGGGUCCGCAGGUGACUGACCACGUCUGGGGUUAAACCACGUCGCUCAACGGCGUGCAUGUCCUGGAAACGAGUCGGAUAGAGCCAUUCAGAGGUAUCUGGAAUGCUGUGUGUAGGGGUAAAAUCCGUUGAUCCACAGUGGAACGCCAAAAGCGAAAGCAGGAUACUGGGAAUGUGCUGACACUCAGGGACGAAAGCGUGGGGAGCAAACAGGAUUAGAAACCCGUGUAGU
rnacentral:rRNA from 1 species